GGUAAAUGCGGGACAGGGGUGGUGGUAAUGAGGGGGAUGCGGUGGUUAUCCGGAAUCGUUGGGUUUAAAGGGUACGUAGGCGGGCGUAUAAGUCAGAGGGGAAAGGAAUGGGCUCAACUGAGGAACUGCAGUUGAAACUGUAGGUCUUGAAUGGUUGUGAAGUAGCUGGAAUGGGUAGGGUAGCGGUGAAAUGCAUAGAUAUUACACAGAACACCGAUUGCGAAGGCAUGUUACUAACAAAUUAUUGACGCUGAUGGACGAAAGCGUGGGGAGCGAACAGGAUUAGAUACCCUUGUAGUC
rnacentral:rRNA from 1 species